AAACGCCGCAAACUUUUCCGCCUGGACAGCGAAGGCGAGGAGAGCGAGGAGUCGUCCUCGGGAAAGGAGGAAGAGGAGGACGAAGAGGUGCGCAGGAGGCGGCGCAGGCGGCGGCCGGAGGAGAGAAGCGCGGCCAGGGAGAGACGGGAGGCGUGCCACGACGACGCCGCCAGCAGCUCCUCCUCCAAGUUCUCUCUGUACGAAGGCUCCGAGGAGAGCGGGGCCGGCAGCAGCCGCUCCUCUUCCUCCUCCUCCUCCUCAUCCUCGUCUUCCUCCUCUUCCUCCUCCUCUUCUUCCUCCUCCGAGGAUGAAAGCGCUGCUGAGGAGCCCCCCGAGCCCCCCCGGGCUCCCACCCCCGAACCAGGUGAGUGCCCACGGACCCAGAUCCCCCACAUUUCCCCCAAACUGCCCCAAAUCCCCCCUCAUUUCCCAUAAAUGGCCACAAACUGCCCCGAAUCCCCCCCAUGUUUCCCAUAAAU